AUGCAAAUGAGUUAAGAGACACUGUAUAUAAAGCAUUUGUGGCAUGUUAUCUCAUUAUAGUUUCAUUCUCCACCUGUAUGGUACAGCAGCUCUUCUUACGUUCGCACAGCAGCAGGGAGUUUGUUCCAGUUCUAAGAGCGAUGGCAGCAGCAGCCUUUUCCAAUACCAGGGGACCAGCUUUAGCCAACAAAGGCUUAUUACUCAUCUUCUCUCUGCUGUGUCUUGUUUCAGUCGCAAGUUCCCUCUAUACCCAAGACCAGAUGAUGCUUGAGCAGAUGAAGAAAGCAAUAAAAGAAGCAGAGAGAUGGAAGGCAGAAGACAAAUAUAGAAAGGAAACAAUCACAAAACUAUUUGAUCUUUCAAGUUCACUGACCCACAAGGACCAACUGGAACUAUUCCAGGAAACCCUACGCAGUGCUGUAAAACAAGAGGAAACACUGAAGGGAGGAGACGAGUACAAAAUGGCAGCAACAGUAUUGGAUGAAUUGUUUGAGAAAUACAUUCAUCAGUCAGAACUGGAUAUGUUAGCUGAUUAUCCACCAGUGAAGGAAGUAUUUAAGGUUGGUUUGCACUUUAUGAAGAACUUCCGAACUUACAUGGACAAGAAGAUGACUUUGCUACAAGAAUAGAGAACAGAAAAGAAACUGGGUGUGAUGGGGAGCUUCAUAAAACUGUAGAAGAAACAACAAAUUGAACUGCUUACAUUUCUGUCUCUAUGUCUGUUCUAGUUUGCGCAUAUUUAGUUUUUAUGAAACCAUUUUUUGUUGUUUCUAAAUCAUAAAAAAAAAUACAUACAUUUCCUUCAAGUUAUACAUAUGUGACUUCUUUAUAUUAAUUUGGCACAAAGUUGUAGUAAACUGGGGAGUUCUUUUGUUUUACUGAUCUUGACCAGUGAUUCUUUUAUUUAGACAUUAUAGGUUUCUAUGCAUUCUAAAUAAAUGUGUUAUGUAAAGAAUUUUUCUUGUGCUUCCUUUGUCAAACCCUAAAGUAAAAACAAAAAAAAUCAGAGAUGAUAUAUGUAGAAACUGUAUCAUAAUCCCCUAUUUACUUAUAACAAAGACGAUGACAGUGUUUCUUUGCUUCAUACGUUUUGAUCAUAAGUCCUUCAGGUCAAGCAUAAAUGAUGGAAUCAUUAAUCCAUUUUUAGAUAUUUGUUUAUAUGUCCAAAGUAUUUAGAUAAUCACAUAUUUCUUCAUUUUAUUUUUAUCUAUUUAUUUACUCACUUUCCUGCUAUUUUACCUCUG
ensembl:lncRNA